GAGAUAGAAAGAUGAUGGGGCGAUUUGGUGCCCGAGCCCAGCUGAUCCCGAAAUCGUCGGCGCCCAUUGCUGGCUCGGAUCCACAUAAAUCGCUCUGACGCAUCUGACGACUAGUUGGGAAAAAGGGACCUACGGAGGAAUACGGUAGGAAACAGUAGCUGUUGUGUGGGCCCAGAACGUAUGGGCGGGACGGCGUUCGAGCACGAGAACUCUGGUCCGUGGACCAGAUCGUUAGAAGCCGAUCCGAGCCAGGGAUCAGAUAAGGUGUACUUGACGGGGGUGGACAGCUACGCCGUCUGUCGAUCAUUCCAGAACCCUAGCCGUCCCUCUUUUCCCCGCACACCACGCUAUCCCCGUGCUGAGAAGGUGCUCGCGGCGGCGCUCGUUUUACACCGGCGACGACGCGAAAUAAUUGAGGAUUCUGGGCUGGAGUUUUUGCUCGAUGCCGUUGAGAGGUUCCCAUUGCGGGAGGAGUUCGCCGACAACCUUGAGCACCCAGAUCCGAUUCCUCUGGUAUUGUUGCCCAAGUGCCCAACAACGGGGCUGGCCUCCUGAAGACUCGAAUGCUGGGUCUGGCUGUGCUCAGCAGCUUGGGGGCGAUGGGACUGUUAGAGAACGAGUUGGGGUCCGCCUCGUCUGGAUGGCUCUCUGAUGAAGUCGGCGCAGUCGACUGACAGUUAAUCCAGAAACACCUGGCUGGGCGAAAAGGUGAUGGAUAUACUUCAUUUGGAGGAGAUCCGUGAGAAACAUAUACUCAAGCGAUGGACGAAGAACGCGAGAGACAUACUUCCCCAACACCUGGUGCAGUACCAGAAGGACAAUUCAGUUAACUUAUUGUUCACGUGAAGGAACUCGAUGCUAUACCUGAAAGCCAUGGAAGUUGUGCGGAUGGGCAAUGCGAGUGCAGAAUCAUUCGAGCACACGUAUGCUGGUCUUGAAGCUUUGUUGAUUAGUGGCACACCUUUAGCAGAGAAAAGGGAUAGUUUGGGUUUUGAGGACCGUCUAGCAGGUUUGGCACGGGUUGAUUGCCAGGCCAUGGAGAGGUUGUAUUUGUUGGAGCCAACGGUGCGUACCAAUGCCAUAGUGCUGGGCACUUUGUUAGUGUGAAUGUCCUUGAAGGUCUAGCAGCUCCAGAAAAGCAUAGGUGGGUCGGCAGACCAAAAAAAUAGCAGGGAGAAGGUGCCGUAUGAGGGUCUAAGCAAGCGUACCAGGUUCUGCAGCAUUUGUCAAUGCGAGGGGAACAAGUGACUACCUGCCCCGAAAUAGGAGAUGCCCCCAAGAAACCACGGAAACCAGGAAAAUGCAAGAACUGUGGUAUGGAAGGGCACCGCCGCACACACUUGCAUGAGGCCGCUCGGUGCUGCUGAGAAAUGAGUUCCGAGUAUUGUCUGUAUUUGUACUUCUUUCGAGGAUUUUAUAGUGUGUUUAAGUGAGCAUUGCUCCAUGCUUAUUCCUCGUUAUCAGAGACAUGAGACACUUAUUUUGGGACGGAGGGAGUAUGUGGUUGCCUCAAGGAAAUAGUGAUCACGUCUCAGGUUCAGACCA